AGUAAAACGGGAGAGCAAGCAAGAGUGAGACACAUUUCUCCAUUUCCAUUCGUUCACUCGUUGACUACGUAGACCGUCACACAGAAGACGAGAACUGUACAAGUUCCGAAUCGGUUUUUGUUGCGUGCUUCUUUUUCGCCCGUGCACCUAGAUUUGUUUCAAUAUUUUAUAUUUUCGGCCGCUGCUUGAGAUACUUCGUAGCCGAGCACAUCAGCAUCAGUGGCAGCACGAGUAGAAUUUGGCAUCAACAAACGGCAGAAUGGUAACGGACGAUGAGAACGAGAAGAGAGCAGAGGAGAGAGAAAGGAGAGUCGAGAGUGAAAAGAAGAUAUUCUCGAAU